AAUACAGAGGUCCCAAGCGUUGUUCGGAUUCACUGGGCGUAAAGGGUGCGUAGGUGGUCGGGUAAGUCUGAUGUGAAAUCUCCAAGCUCAACUUGGAAACUGCAUCGGAUACUAUUCGGCUCGAGGGUUGGAGGGGGGACUGGAAUGCUUGGUGUAGCAGUGAAAUGCGUAGAUAUCAAGCGGAACACCAGUGGCGAAGGCGAGUCCCUGGACAACUCCUGACACUGAGGCACGAAAGCUAGGGGAGCAAACAGGA
rnacentral:rRNA from 1 species